GUUUUUAUUUUUUGGUAGAUCUUGAUAUCUUCUGGUAAUGGAGAGGGAAGUGUUGCUGAUUUCAAAAAUUUUCUAUGAAGUUGAGUAAGCAUUCUACAACAACUGUGAUAAGGACAGUCCCAGGACACCAAGAGAAGUAUGAAGAGAAGAGAAAAUACUUGUGGUCAAGAGGAGUACUUCUGAAUAAAAAAAAAAAGGAAUCUUUUAUGUUCUUAGAGAAGCCUAUAACACAUGACCAUAGAUGGCGCCUAAACCACUUGGGAAGUGGGAAAAGUAUGGAAAAAGAUAUUGUCGAGAUUGGGAAAGGGAAACUGGAUUAAAAGAAUGGAUUCGAAGUAUUCCCGGAGAUGACACAAAGGCAGCAUGCAAAUAUUGCGCAUGUGAAAUCCGAGCUCAUCAUAGUGAUUUGGUUGCACACAGUAAAACCAAAAAGCACAAGAGACAUGUUGCUUUAUUUUCAUGUUCUUCUGAUAUGAAAAAACAUUCAUUUGAAUUUGAAGUUGAAAACCAAAAUUCAUUUGACGAUGAUAUCACGCAAGCCAAAAUGGAUCAAUCUGUUAAUGUAUGCGCACUGAAGCUAGCGGCACACAUAGCUUGCAAUAUGAGCAUUUUUACAGUGGAUCACCUAGGCUGCAUUGUUGGAGGGAUAGCAGAGAAGGACAUUAGUCUGCAUAGAACAAAAUGCUCCACACUGAUUAGAAAUGUCAUUGGUCCUACCGUACACGAAGAACUUCUGAGAGAUAUUGGCAAUGGACACUACUCGUUGAUCAUUGAUGAAAGUACAGAUGUAUCAGCACAAAAGCAACUUUGCUUGAUAGUAAGAUUCUUUAGCAACAAGCUUAAAUGUAUUGUAUCAUCCUUUGCAGGGAUCAUUAAUUUGACUAGAAGUGGUGCUAUCACAGAAGCCCUCUUGAAAUUUCUAAAUGACAACAAGCUGAACAUAAAAAAGUGUGUUGGGAUUGCUGCUGAUGGUUUCAAUACAAGCUUAUGUGGAAAUAAAAAUUCAUUGCUCAAAAAGUUUUAUGAACUCAAUCCUUGUGGAGUUUUCAUCAAAUAUAGGGGAUCAUAUCAAGUUGAAACAGCAAUGGAGAAAUCUGGAUGCAGUCUCAUGGACAAACACAGAAGAUAGCCAAAUAGAACAGUUCUGGAUAGAAGUUGCAAAACACACUGAUGAAGUUGGUGAUAAGGAUUUUGUUGAGCUUGGAUUAUUUGCCCUUGCCCUUCUCACCUUGCCAUUCAGCACUGCAGCUGUGGAAUGUACAAUCUCACAAAUGAACUCGAUAAAAACUAAGUUAAAGAACAGAUUGCAGGACAGCCUACUUGAAAAUAUCUUAAGGAUCAGGGCCUAUAUGCACCGAAAUAAGAUUUGCUGCAACCAGUUUCAACCAUCCAAAGAGAUGAUAUCUUUGUUUAAUAAUGAGUUUUAUGCAAUUGCUAAUAGCAAGGACGCUACAGAUGACUCUGAGGAGGAUAUAUUUUGAAAAGACUCAAGUGAAGAGGAUCUCUUUUAAAAAAGUAAGCAAGGAUUUUCAAAAUGGCUCAUUGCAAUUGAACUAUUUGACUCAUGCAUUUCAAAUUUUGUUCUAUCUACAAAUCUGUUUUCCCAUUCAUUUAGUAAGAACUACUUUUCAUAGAGGAAGAUACAUUGUAUAAAGCCACACAGCCCUUUUUAGAAAAAGAUUUUUGAAAAACUAAAGUAAAAUUAAUGAGGCACGCUCUAAUACUAAUUCAUUUGGUGGGGGGCACACUUGACGGAAGAUGCUGAUUAGGCAGUGCACCAGAACCCCCUUCCCAUUAGCCUAUUAAUGUAAUACAGUCAUGGCAUAUUUUUAUAUUGAGUGAUACACAAUGUAACACUACAUUUCUGUGCCUCAGUACAAUACUCUCAGUCAGGAGCCAGAUGGCUGGGUGAAGAUUGAAUAAAACCUGCUUUUUUAUAUAUGUUUUGAAGGGC
ensembl:lncRNA